GAUGAAGAACGUAGCGAAAUGCGAUAAGUAAUGUGAAUUGCAGAAUUCAGUGAAUCAUCGAAUCUUUGAACGCACAUUGCGCCCGCCGGUAUUCCGGCGGGCAUGCCUGUUCGAGCGUCAUUUCAACCAUCAAGCCCUGGGCUUGUGUUGGGGACCUGCGGCUGCCGCAGGCCCUGAAAUGCAGUGGCGGGCUCGCAAGACGCACCGAGCGUAGUAGCUUACAACCUCGCUUUGGGAGUGCUGCGGGUGCUGGCCGUAAAGCGACCUUUGCGUCUUUAGCACUAGGUUGACCUCGGAUCAGGUAGGAGGACCCGCUGAACUUAAGCAUAUCAAUAAGCGGAGGA
rnacentral:misc_RNA from 1 species